rnacentral:rRNA from 1 species
AGUAGAGUGGCGCACGGGUGAGUAACACGUAGGUAAUCUACCUUUGGGUGGGGAAUAACAGCCGGAAACGGCUGCUAAUACCGCAUAAUGCAGCGGCUCGACAUCGAGACAGUUGUUAAAGCGGGGGAUCGCAAGACCUCGCGCCUAAAGAGGAGCCUGCGGCAAAUUAGCUAGUUGGUAAGGUAAUGGCUUACCAAGGCGACGAUCUGUAACCGGCCUGAGAGGGCGGUCGGUCACACUGACACUGACAUACGGGUCAGACUCCUACGGGAGGCAGCAGUCGGGAAUUUUGGGCAAUGGGCGAAAGCCUGACCCAGCAACGCCGCGUGAAGGAUGAAAUCCCUCGGGAUGUAAACUUCGCAAGAAUGGGAAGAAUAAGUAGGGGACAAUACCCCCUAUGAUGACGGUACCAUUUGUAAGCUCCGGCUAACUCCGUGCCAGCAGCCGCGGUAAUACGGGGGGAGCAAGCGUUGUUCGGAUUUACUGGGCGUAAAGGGCGCGUAGGCGGUCGUGACAAGUCACUUGUGAAAUCUCCGGGCUUAACUCGGAGCGGUCAAGUGAUACUGUCGGACUAGAGUACAGAAGGGGGCAACUGUAAUUCUCGGUGUAGCGGU